AAACGAAAGUUUGACUAAGCCAUACUAAAUAGGGUUGGUAAAUUUCGUGCCAGCCACCGCGGUCAUACGAUUAACCCAAACUAAUAGGCCUACGGCGUAAAGCGUGUUCAAGAUACUUUAACACUAAAGUUAAAACUUAACUAAGCCGUAAAAAGCUACAGUUAUCAUAAAAUAAACCACGAAGGUGACUUUAUAAUAAUCUGACUACACGAUAGCUAAGACCCAAACUGGGAUUAGAUACCCCACUAUGCUUAGCCCUAAACAUAGAUAAUUUUACAACAAAAUAAUUCGCCAGAGGACUACUAGCAAUAGCUUAAAACUCAAAGGACUUGGCGGU
rnacentral:rRNA from 1 species